rnacentral:lncRNA from 1 species
AAUGCUCUUCAGUCUGGACAGGGAAAAAUAACCCUACUGAGUUCAUGCUUGGUGAGAAGAUGCCUGAGAAGAACUGCAGCCUUCAAAAAGAGUUGUACCAGCAGGUAUGAUGGGCAGAAUUGAUUUCCUACUUCUGCUCAUACAGGGCACGACAGAGAGCUCAAACGUGGAUUUCCAUUUUGGGUCUCCUAUUUCAAAGGGUGUAUGAGGCAGGGCAGAGAGAUCCCCCGGGAAAGCAGUUGGUCUUUGAAUAUGGACCACUGGACCCAAGAAAGCUGCUGGAUCAUUUAUCAGACAGGUUUUGAAACCAAGAAAGAGGACAUCAUCUGUCUGAGAAGUUAUCAUCUCACUGCCCAUUCUUCCCUACCCCAUCCCUGCCCAACAUGAACACAUUUCAAUCUAAACCUGGAAAUAGUAUGACAAGGUCUAGUGACUUCAAAGUAAAGGCGAACUAAGUUCUCUCUUCCAUUGACAAGCUACAUGUAAAGUUUGUUUCAUGCCUCAGUAAGAUUACUAAAUUCCACUUAGCUUCUUCCAAUGAGGUCUUUCCACACGUGCCAAUUACCUCCCAAUUAAUACAAUCAAGUAACCACCUUAUAAACAACUUUUAAUUUUGAAUGUCAGGUUAACAUUUUUCCUCAUUCUCUUCCACCCAUCGUUUCAUGAAAUUUCAAGGCUUGAGCUUUCUCCACUUCCUCUGUCACUCAGUUUAAGACUAGGCAGGGCUGGGGCAGUGAGGAACAUUUCUGUGAACAGCUGAUGAAGGGCUUGUGUCUGCUUAUUUCUGAAAUGAACUAGUCUCAUGUAAGCAACAAGGUUUAACAUGAUUUUGUGUUUUUUUUGGUACCAGGGAUCAAACUCGGGACCUUGUGCUUGCAAGGCAGGUGGCAGCACCACUGAGCUAAAUCCCCAGCCAAAUAAAUGUGUUUAACCUGAUUUUCUUUUCUUUCUUUUUUUUUUUUUUUUUUUCAGCAACAAGGUCUAUAAGGGCUGGGUGAAGAGUCUUAGCUGUCAUGUCAGGAUUGUAGCUGAGUGACAAUUAGCUCCUGAAGAGAUCUGGUGUCUCCAGAAAACAAAGGCCUUUUGUUCGGGGAGCUCAGAGUUCUUCAUACACCUACACCUUCAUUCCUUUUUCCCUCCAUGCUCCACCUGGGAGGCAGUGAGGUGGGGGAGCCACCUGCACCUGUGUGAUGCUGGCCUCCAGAUGGGUGUGCCCUGCACCUGUCUCUUAGUGCAUUUUUGUCCCAGUGACUGGUUCACCUCAGGUAGAUGGAGGCAAUGAGAAUAGAUUUUAGUCUAGUGACAGAAGACUGGCACCCUUUCUUUUCUUCCAUGAGCUAUGUGACCUUUGCAUGUCACCUAGUUUUCUUCCCCAGUGGUCAAUGGAGAUAAUGAUGCCCAUGUCACAGGGA